rnacentral:rRNA from 1 species
CAGCCGCCGCGGGAAUACGAAGGGUGCAAGCGUUACUCGGAAUUACUGGGCGUAAAGCGUGCGUAGGUGGUGGUUUAAGUCCGUUGUGAAAGCCCUGGGCUCAACCUGGGAAUUGCAGUGGAUACUGGGUCACUAGAGUGUGGUAGAGGAUAGUGGAAUUUCCGGUGUAGCAGUGAAAUGCGUAGAGAUCGGAAGGAACAUCUGUGGCGAAGGCGACUAUCUGGGCCAACACUGACACUGAGGCACGAAAGCGUGGGGAGCAAACAGGAUUAGAUACCCGUGUAGUCCCUGUCUCUUAUAC